UACGUAGGGUGCGAGCGUUGUCCGGAAUUAUUGGGCGUAAAGAGCUCGUAGGCGGCUUGUCGCGUCGGAUGUGAAAGCCCGGGGCUUAACCCUGGGUCUGCAUUCGAUACGGGCAGGCUAGAGUUCGGUAGGGGAGAUCGGAAUUCCUGGUGUAGCGGUGAAAUGCGCAGAUAUCAGGAGGAACACCGGUGGCGAAGGCGGAUCUCUGGGCCGAUACUGACGCUGAGGAGCGAAAGCAUGGGGAGCGAACAGG
rnacentral:rRNA from 1 species